rnacentral:rRNA from 1 species
UAAGCGAAGCUUUUCAGUAGUUUCACUACAGAAAAUGACUGAGCGGCGAACGGGUGAGUAACGCGUGAGCAAUCUACCUUAGUUACAGGGAUAGCCCGAGGAAACUCGGAUUAAUACCUGAUAUUCUUUAUUUCUCGCAUCGAGAAUAAAAGGAAAGUGUCAGCCGAACUAAGAUGAGCUCGCGUUCUAUCAGCUUGUUCGGUGAGGUAAAACGCUUACCAAGGCUACGACGGAUAGCUGGUCUGAGAGGACGAUCAGCCACACUGGGACUGAGACACGGCCCAGACUCCUACGGGAGGCUGCAGCAGGGAAUAUUGUGCAAUGAACGAAAGUUUGACACAGCGACACCGCGUGUGGGAUGACGGAUCUAGGUUUGUAAACCACUUUCAAGGAGGGAAGAAACAUGACGGUACCUCCACAAAG